GUGUUUUAAUUUGUAUAUUUAAUUAAAUUAUAUAAAAAAGUGUAAAUAAAAUCCAAAAAUGAAUUUGUGGUAUUUCCAAAAGACAUAUGCACCACUUGAUUGCGAAAUAGCAUGCGUAGAUAAAUUAUGAACAAGACCCGCACAUUGAACUUUUAGAUGAAGUGAAUGCUUAUAACAUAUAAAUGGUGGUGUUCAGCUUGUAUCUCCCACAAAUUGUAUCAAUAACUUUGUUUUUGAAGCAUUUAAGAAUGACGUAAAUAGCUAUACUGACCUCGAAAAUGCAUUCAGGAAAGGUUUUCGGAAUUGCAAAUUAAAAAUGUAU